UGCCAAUGAUGGAUUUAAAUUGCACGUAUUAUCAGAAAAAACAUGAUGAUAAUGCAUAUAUUGUCACUACCUCUGAGGCA